rnacentral:rRNA from 1 species
AUUGCACGCUGGCGGCAGGCCUAACACAUGCAAGUCGAGCGGAGCGGAGGACGGGUGAGUAAUGCCUAGGACUCUGCAUGGUAGUGGUGGAUAACGUCCGGAAACGGGCGCUAAUGCCGAAUACUAUCAGAUGAGCCUAGGUCGGAUUAGCUAGUUGUUGGGGUAAAGGCCUACCAGGGCGACGAUCCGUAACUGGUCUGAGAGGAUGAGCAGUCACACUGGAACUGAGACACGGUCCAUACUCCUACGGGAGGCAGCAGGGGGGAAUAUUGGACAAUGGGCGAAAGCCUGAUCCAGCCAUGCCGCGUGUGUGAAGAAGGUCUUCGGAUUGUAAAGCACUUUAAGUUGGGAGGCGUUACCAACAGAAUAAGCACCGGCUAACUUCGUGCCAGCAGCCGCGGUAAUAC